rnacentral:rRNA from 1 species
AAUCAAACUUAAGAGUUUGAUCCUGGCUCAGAGCGAACGCUGGCGGCAGGCUUAACACAUGCAAGUCGAACGAGAAACUAGACUUCGGUUUAGUGGAAAGUGGCAGACGGGUGAGUAACGCGUGGGAAUCUACCUUUGAGUGGGGAAUAACAACUAGAAAUGGUUGCUAAUACCGCAUAUACCCUAAGGGGGAAAGGCUUCGGCCGCUCUUAGAUGAGCCCGCGUACGAUUAGUUUGUUGGUGAGGUAAAGGCUCACCAAGACUACGAUCGUUAGCUGGUUUGAGAGGAUGAUCAGCCACACUGGGACUGAGACACGGCCCAGACUCCUACGGGAGGCAGCAGUGGGGAAUAUUGGACAAUGGGCGCAAGCCUGAUCCAGCCAUG